AAUACUCAGGGGUCUCUCCCUAGAGUGAGAAAGGAAGGAAAGGAAGAGGGGGAGGGAGAAAGAAGCAAACCUGUUGUAAUCAAGUCAUCUCUGAACAUCUUGGCAUGGAAUAAUGUCAAGAAUGUCCUCAAAUUAUCCACUUCAUUUGCUACACAUUUAAAAAGACCCGCCUUUAGUUCACCCACAAUGAAGUUUCCUAAAUAUUGUAUUUAAAGUACCCCACACUGGAAGACUGGAAACUCAGUCCCUCGCCCAUCAAGUGACUCACAUCUCCGUUGAUGGUGCUGGUGUAGCUGCCCAUCACAGAUUGGGUGCAGGCAGAGCCUACAGGCUGCAUCGGACUCUGCGAGGCCACGAAACACAAUAACGAGUCAGCAGACCAUGAAGGCUACUUCCGCAGCAAGUUGAGACUGUGGCCUACAGCAUAUUUCUCGGAUACUUGACGAUUCAGCAUUCAAGGGCCAUAAGAAGUUAUAGCAGAGGUCAUCAGUCUAACAUCGCCCAGUAUAAAGGUGUGGUAAACAGCAGGUAUCCAAUAAAUUAUUAACUGCUAAUGAGAAAAA
rnacentral:lncRNA from 1 species